rnacentral:rRNA from 1 species
UACGGAGGGUGCAAACGUUGCUCGGAAUCAUUGGGCGUAAAGCGCACGUAGGCGGUCCGCUAAGUCGGGUGUGAAAUCCCUCGGCUCAACCGAGGAAGGGCAUCCGAAACUGACGGGCUUGAGUACGGAAGAGGGUCUCGGAAUCCCGGUGAGAGGUGAAAUGCGCAGAUAUCAGGAGGACACCGGUGGCGAAGGCGGGUCUCUGGGCCGGUAACUGGACGCCUGAGGAGCGAAAGCGUGGGGAGCGA